GGAGAGGUGCUGGAGUGGCCGAACAGGGCUGCCUGCUAAGCAGUUAUCCCGCCAAAAGCGGGAUCGGGGGUUCGAAUCCCCCCCUCUCCGCCA
rnacentral:tRNA from 1 species